rnacentral:rRNA from 1 species
UACGAAGGGGGCUAGCGUUGUUCGGAAUUACUGGGCGUAAAGCGCACGUAGGCGGACAUUUAAGUCAGGGGUGAAAUCCCGGGGCUCAACCCCGGAACGGCCUUUGAUACUGGGUGUCUUGAGUUCGGAAGAGGUGAGUGGAACUGCGAGUGUAGAGGUGAAAUUCGUAGAUAUUCGCAAGAACACCAGUGGCGAAGGCGGCUCACUGGCCCGGUACUGACGCUGAGGUGCGAAAGCGUGGGGAGCAAACAGG